rnacentral:lncRNA from 1 species
CCGUCAAAGGGAAUGACAAUGUAAGAUUAAAACAUGGAGAUACAGAUUUAUUUUAAUUACACCAGAAAUUUUGAACAUACUCGUUAUAAAACUUUGAAAUGAAUAAAAAUAGUCUUCAAGAUAUUUUAAAUAAACUUUAUUUUUUAGAGCAGUUUUAGGUUCACCGUAAAAUUGAACACAAAAUCCAGAGAGUUUCCGCAAAUCCCCAUCCACAUCCAUGCAUCUCCCCUCCCACGGUCCACAUCGUGUAGCAGAAUCUAAGUUACCAUGUGUCUCCGCUCCCACUGUCCACAACCUGUAGCAGAAUCUAAAUUUGCAUGCGUCUCCCCUCCCACUGUCCACAUCCUGUAGCGGAAUCUAAAUUUGCAUGCGUCUCCCCUCCCACUGUCCACAUCCUGCAGCGGAAUCUAAAUUUGCACGCGUCUCCCCUCCCACUGUCCACAUCAUGCAGCGGAAUCUAAAUUUGCAUGCGUCUCCCCUCCCACUGUCCACAUCCUGUAGCGGAAUCUAAAUUUGCACGCGUC